AACGCACAUUGCGCCCACUGGUAUUCCGGUGGGCAUGCCUGUUCGAGCGUCAUUAUCCUCCCUCAAACCUCGGGUUUGGUGUUGGACCCAAGUUGUGUGAACAACUGGUCUCAAAGACAAUGACGGCGUCCGUGGGACCCUCGGUGCAACGAGCUUUUAAACGAGCACGCGUCGAGUUUCAAGGACCUUCCGGGCCGGUCUCCUUCUUUUAUUUACAAAGGUUGACCUCGGAUCAGGUAGGAAUACCCGCUGAACUUAA
rnacentral:misc_RNA from 1 species